CAGUAGCCGCGGGAAUACGGAGGGAGCUAGCGUUAUUCGGAAUUACUGGGCGUAAAGGGUGCGUAGGCGGUUAGUUAAGUCUGUUGUGAAAUCCCCGGGCUCAACCUGGGAAUGGCAAUGGAUACUGGCAAGCUAGAGUGUGUCAGAGGAUGGUGGAAUUCCCGGUGUAGCGGUGAAAUGCGUAGAGAUCGGGAGGAACAUCAGUGGCGAAGGCGGCCAUCUGGGACAACACUGACGCUGAGGCACGAAAGCGUGGGGAGCAAACAGGAUUAGAUACCCGCGUAGUCCCUGUCUCUUAUAC
rnacentral:rRNA from 1 species